rnacentral:miRNA from 1 species
GGUAACCCUCGAUAGCUCAGUUGUCAGAACGGAGAACUGUUGAUGUUUCAACAGUGAUCCUUAGGUCGCUGGUUCAAAUCUUGUUCUAUCAAGGUACC